UACUACACGCGCGAGUGUCGGGGGAGGCUCUCUCUAGCGCAGGCUAGCAACCACGAGAGGGAGGUACUCUGCUUCUCCACCGACGAACGAGCAGACGACUCCCCAGGCAGUUUGGUGGCCUCCGUUGUGCAGUAGGACUAGGCAUGCCAUGUUGUUCGGCAGUGCUCUUCUGCACUUCAAUGAAUUUGUAAUUUCUGAAGAGAGAAAAAGUGCAAACGAAGCCUGCUAUUGUUUGCUAUUGAGGUUCAUUUUACUCAUUUUUGCAGGGAAAAGAUGAAGUGAUGCAGUUCUAUUGGAUGCCCCGUUACUCAAUUCCGUUGUUAUUCAAGAGUGCACUUCAUUAGUUCAUUGUAAAAACUGCAGCCGUGUAGUCCGCAACCACGGCCAUGCAGCUCAAACAAGCCUGCAAUGAAGUCCCGUCCUGUUUGCCUGGACUGUUGAAGUUUGCCUGGGUCGUCGUUGCAGUACGGUUAGGUGUUGAAAGCUAUUUUUUUGUUGAUUUUUCAGGUUUUCAGAGACUGCACUUCAUUAUAAAAAAGUGGCAUCUAGUUCCCUUUGUAAAAAGCAAUUUUUAUGGCACCCAUUUACUUUGAUAAAUUGUCUGAUGCAGUUUGGAACGCCAAAAAAUUGUAUAAAAUGCACUUCAUUAGUCUCCUCUCGGAGUGAGUGAGGAAAAGACAAAAAUUAUGCAGCUCGCUUGCCCAUCUGAUGCAGUGCGGUUUUCAUUCUGAAGCAGUGCGGAUGGUUGUGUGAUGUUAUUUAUCCCGUAAGUGCAAAAAAUUGUUACGGAAGCGAAAAAAAGUAAUGCGGUUAACUUCUUGAUAGUGUUGUGGUUCAUUUACUCCCGAUGUGAAGUGCACUCUACCUUCUCGUUCUUAAAAAAAAUAUGUUUGAAUAAAAGAAACCAUGCAGUUC
rnacentral:lncRNA from 1 species